rnacentral:snRNA from 1 species
AUACUUACCUGGCAAGGGAGACACCGUGAUCAAGAAGGCGGUUCACCCAGGGCGAGGCUCAGCCAUUGCACUCCGGCUGUGCUGACCCCUGCGAAUUUCCCAAAUGUGGAAAUCUCAAUUGCAUAAUUUCUGGUAGUGGGGGACUGCGUUCGCGCUCUCCCCUG